GACGAACGCUGGCGGCGUGCUUAAUACAUGCAAGUCAACGACUUUUAGAGUAGCAAUAUUUUAAAAGGAGUGGCGCACGGGUGAGUAACACGUAGGUAAUCUGCCUUCAGGACUGACACAACUCGUCGAAAGACGGGCUAAUAUCAGAUAAUGCAGCGGCUCCGCAUGGAGACAGUUGUUAAAGUACAAGCGCCUGAAGAUGAGCCUGCGGUCCAUUAGCUAGUUGGUAGAGUAACAGCCUACCAAGGCAACGAUGGAUAGCUGGUCUGAGAGGAUGAUCAGCCACACUGGAACUGAGACACGGUCCAGACUCCUACGGGAGGCAGCAGUAAGGAAUAUUGCUCAAUGGCCGAAAGGCUGAAGCAGCAACGCCGCGUGAAGGAUGAAUGGCCUUUGGCCUGUAAACUUCUGUAAAAAGGGAAAACAAUCAAGGCAUGUCCUGAUUUGAUUGUACCUUUGAAGUAAGCCCCGGCUAACUACGUGCCAG
rnacentral:rRNA from 1 species